CCUACGGGAGGCAGCAGUGAGGAAUAUUGGGCAAUGGGCGGGAGCCUGAAGCAGCCAAGUCGCGUGAGGGAAGACGGUCCUACGGAUUGUAAACCUCUUUUGCCGGGGAGCAACGGGGUCCUAGCGAAGGCCCGAUGUGAGUACCCGGAGAAAAAGCAUCGGCUAACUACGUGUCAGCAGCAGCGGUAAUACGGGGGAUGCGAGCGUUAACCGGAUUUAGUGGGGUUAAAGGGUGCGUAGGCGGGCUGUUAAGUCAGCGGUCAAAUGUCGGGGUUAAACCCCGGCCUGCCGUUGAAACUGGCUGCCUCGAGUGGGCGAGAAGUAGGCGGAAUGCGUGGUGUAGCGGUGAAAUGCAUAGAUAUCACGCAGAACUCCGGUUGCGAAGGCAGCAUACCGGCGCCCGACUGACGCUGAGGCACGAAAGCGUGGGUAUCGAACAGGAUUAGAUACCCCAGUAGUC
rnacentral:rRNA from 1 species